GGGGUGUUAGCUCAGUUGGUAGAGCGAUUGCUUCGCAUGCAGUAGGUCGGGAGUUCGAUUCUUCCACACUCCA